UAAAAUGGAGGGAUUCUUCGCAACCGUCGCCAUCUUAGGAACAGAAGACGGCUGUGAUGACCUCGCUGCCCUGCCGGUCAGGUUGCUAGCCAGCUCGCCAAUCCGCCUAAUCUCUUCAGAGGUUGGUGGGGCGUUGGCAAUAGGGAGCCUCCGAAAGCGCUCUUCACAGCCACUUAAAGCUGCCUGCAGCAGUGUGGCGUGCCGGGCCGCAGUAGUGCGAGUCUCACAGCCCGAAGGCGGGAGACUCGAUGCGGCCCCUUCAACAAUCGGGACGGGCGGCUCGAGAGCAGCCGUCACCGACGUGGGAAAAUCAAGCCCUUCUGUGGCCCACAGAUGAGAGACGGCCGAUCACAGACUGUCAACUCACUGCUGGCGAAUUUUCCAGCCGGUUUUUGGAAGGUCGGAAAAGCGGCCUUGCUAUGCAGAGCUUGCAGCCGCCUGCGCCAAUGGGGCCUACAAAAGGCCAUGAAGCCUCCCAGGCCGAAAACACUCAAUCUCUUCCCCUUGUUGGAGAAAUUGCUCUGUACCUCUCUGCCUGGCUCCAAGCAACGGAGAGGAAAGAGGAGAUGCGGGGAAGAGAAGUGGGAGGGGGAGAGAAACAGACGAAAGAAGGGUGGUUUUCUCUCUUUUCAGGAUGAUGCUAGGUCAGGCCAUGAAGAGAACGAAGUCGUUUCCUGGGUGUGAACUGGUAUGUGUAGCUGUUGACCCAAGAUAAGCAGUGCCAGGCUAAACUUGGUAGCAUUAAUCUUUUCAGGUCACCCACAGUAUGUGGAAUUUGCUCCAACCUAUAAAAGGCUGCCUACCUACACUCAGGAAUAUAACAAACUAUUCUUAGGACUGAAUGACUAUUGCUGUGUUGUAACUGCUACAUUGGAAGAGCACAGACCGUCUGCGGCUCCCUCUCUCUGUGCGAAUAAUAAUCUAUGGGCACAGCUAUGUAUUUUGGGCCACUCAAAGAGCGCGGCAGACAAGCGUGGGUACCUAGCUGGGCCUCAUUGGAGCAGCGGAGAUGGAUUGGCUGGGGUGCCGAGGGAUGCUGUGAAACCUUUUCCUGCUGCUAUUCGGUGAGUAUGCUGCCACAUGGGGGACACUGCAUGUCCUGGUCAUUCACCAGGUAGGCAAUGACACCAGUUUGCUUCAGGGCAAGGCCCUGAUCCUGCAGGCAAUCAAAGAUUUACAAGGCCUGGCCACCUGAUGGCCGGAUAUCUGGCGGGUUUGGUCCAACCUGCUGCUGAGACUGAGCUGGAGGGGCCACGGGGCCCGUUGUGCUUCAAUAGUGCAUGCAAGAAAGUAAAUAGGGAAAUUGGGAAGGCGGUCUCCACCUUGGGUGGCAGUGUGAUCCAGCAUCCUGAUAUUCGGGUCCAGGAUGUAGCGCUGUACAUGGGGGAGGAGGACAUUUGACCAAUCGGGGAAAUGAGCUGCUCCUCCAGGCCCUUGCAACAAAGUCUGCAAGUAGUGCUAUCAGAGGUUUGCCCCACUUUUGUGGCAGGAGAAUGCAGGUGUGGGGUAGGCAGAUUCAGUAACUGUAUUCGGCUGGAGGGCCAUUUGGGGUGGAGGUGGGGUCAAGGAACAGCCCUUCUGGGUUUGGUCCCCAUGUGUUGCGGGGACUCACCAGCUUAGAGCUUUGGCGGCUUGGGUUUCGGGUGGGUCAGACCACUCCUCCCUCAGUGGGGUGAAGCCUCAUGGUGAGAGGAGGUCAGGACAUGGCACCUGACCAAAUCAGUACCUGACCCUUUGACCUGGUGUGGGAUGGCCCUCAUUAGGAGGUGGCCACCACACAGGAGUACCUGCACUCUGAUUAGUUAGGAACCUCAUUGCAAGUUUGUUAUCUGCUUUAC